GAUACCACCCUUGUAGUACUGGGACUCUAACCAUAGGCCAUGAAUCUGGUCUUGGGACACUGUCAGGUGGGCAGUUUGACUGGGGCGGUCGCCUCCCAAAAGGUAACGGAGGCGCUCAAAGGUUCUCCCAGUACGGUCGGAAAUCGUACGUAGAGUGUAAAGGCAAAAGAGAGCUUGAUUGCAAGACAUACAGGUCGAGCAAGGAUGAAAAUCGGACUUAGUGA
rnacentral:rRNA from 1 species